GACGAACGCUGGCGGCGUGCUUAACACAUGCAAGUCGAACGGAAAGGCCCUGCUCUUGUGGGGUGCUCGAGUGGCGAACGGGUGAGUAACACGUGAGUAACCUGCCCUUGACUUUGGGAUAACUUCAGGAAACUGGGGCUAAUACCGGAUAGGAGCUCCUGCUGCAUGGUGGGGGUUGGAAAGUUUCGGCGGUUGGGGAUGGACUCGCGGCUUAUCAGCUUGUUGGUGGGGUAGUGGCUUACCAAGGCUUUGACGGGUAGCCGGCCUGAGAGGGUGACCGGCCACAUUGGGACUGAGGUACGGCGCAGACUCCUACGGGAGGCAGCAGUGGGGAGUAUUGCACAAUGGGCGGAAGCCUGAUGCAGCAACGCCGCGUGCGGGAUGACGGCCUUCGGGUUGUAAACCGCUUUCGCCUGUGACGAGGCGUGAGUGACGGUAAUGGGUAAAGAAGCACCGGCUAACUACGUG
rnacentral:rRNA from 1 species